CUGCUACCCUACUGUGAAUUAGA
rnacentral:piRNA from 1 species